AAGCGUUUGUGACCAGACUUGGGCCCGGUUAAUCAUCCAGCGUUCUCGCUGGUGCACUUUGCCGGCCCAGGCCAGCAUCAGUUUGUCGCGGGGGAUAAAGGCUUCGGGAACGUGGCUCCUCCGGGAGUGUUAUAGCCCGUUGCGUAAUACCCUGCGGUGGACUGAGGUUCGCGCUCUGCAAGGAUGCUGGCGUAAUGGUCAUCAGCGA
rnacentral:rRNA from 1 species